UCGAUCGACCGGUUGAUUGGUAAAAGUGAGAUGCAGCAGCAUAUCGGAGAACUUUGAUUCCGUGCAAUUCAUUUAACCGGCGCUUCUUCAAUCAAGGCGGUAAAUUUCCGUGCGUCUUCGAUUGGAUGGCCCCAGGGGGCUGCUGGGGGUUAAGAAUUCGAUGCGAUGGGCACGUGCGGGUUUAAAAUCAAGUCGAAAACCGAAUUCCGGAACACGGACGGAUCCUUGAACCUGAUCGAACCACUUCCUGCCGGUGGAAACCCCCGACCACAACCCUUUUCUUUAUAAUACACAUGUAUAUCAGUACCCAUUGUCAUGACGCAAUCAGCGUUACGAAUCCAACAUUGUACUCUUAAAAUACACUUGAAUAGCCGACAGAGAGAAAAUAAAUAAAUUAACUAUCUUUGAAUGAU